rnacentral:rRNA from 1 species
AACGCAAAUUGCACUCCCUGGUAUUCCGGGGAGUAUGCCUGUUUGAGGGUCGUUAGAAUAAAAAUCGAGGCGUCGCUCUUUUUUUAAGGGUGAUCGCGUCGGAAUUGAGCCGUCUUUCAAAUGUUAAUUCAUGUCAAAGUGGCUUAAAAUUCAUCCAUCCGGUACGAUUAAAGCGUAUUUAAGAUCAAUUUUGAUUAAGAACGCGCGAUGACGUACCAUCUCAUGUAGUACGUUUGACCUGGCGUCGUCAGGAUCAUUCGUAUACGAUACUCAAACUUUUGACCUCAAAUCAGGUAAGAAUACCCGCUGAACUUAA